GACGAACGCUGGCGGCGUGCUUAACACAUGCAAGUCGAACGGAAAGGCCUGCUUUCCCUUGUGGAUUGCGGGUACUCGAGUGGCGAACGGGUGAGUAACACGUGAGUGAUCUGCCCCCAACUUGGGUAUAAGCCUGGGAAACUGGGUCUAAUUCCCGAUAGGACUGCAGGGUGGUGCCUGUGGUGGAAAACGAUGUUCUAGUGGUUGGGGAUGAGCUCGCGGCCUAUCAGCUUGUUGGUGGGGUAAUGGCCUACCAAGGCGGCGACGGGUAGCCGGCCUGAGAGGGUGGACGGCCACAUUGGGACUGAGAUACGGCCCCGACUCCUACGGGAGGCAGCCGUGGGGAAUAUUGCACAAUGGGCGGAAGCCUGAUGCAGCGACGCCGCGUGGGGGAUGACGGCCUUCGGGUUGUAAACUCCUUUCGACCGCGAGGAAGCCACCUGGUUGGAAGGGUGGUGACGGUAGUGGUAGAAGAAGCACCGGCUAACUACGUG
rnacentral:rRNA from 1 species